AAUGAGAUGCAGUUAAAUAUGCAUAAAAGAUGAGAUGUAAAUCAUAAAUUUUUCCAUAAAAAUUGAUAAAUCACAUUUAUUCAAAGAAUAUUCCAUAUGCAAGCCCAUUAUUAUUUGAUAGAUAUCGUUAAAAUUUUAAUAAAUGAUAUGUAUGUAUAUAAGGUCAUUUUUUUUAUUCGAAUUACAUAGAUCGUUCUGGAACAAGGUCGAAUCAUGAAUUCCAUUCAGAUUCUCGUAAUUGCUGCUUUUUUGAUUGCAAGUUUCAUUUUCGUAGUUUCACAGCCAGUGCAUGGUGAUUAUGAUAUUCCGAGCGAUGCUCAAGUAAUUGAGCUAUCAGACUCAUCUGAAUUGGGAAAACUCGUUAGGAAGUUUGCUGAUGAUGUACAGAAGAUUGCAAAUAAACAACAUUAAAAAUGAGCUUGAUCAAAUUUUCAUGUGAUAAAUUUUUAGGAAUCUAAAAUAAGCGAUAUUCAAAGAUACUUGUAGUAAACGAAAGUAAAAACAAUGCAGAAUAUAUCAGAUUAAUUAUGAAUGACAAUGUAAAUUAUGUGGAUCCUAUAACACAUACUUGGCGAUGCAUAAAUUCAGAAUGUUCAAAUCAGGUAUCAAUGUUAAAAAGACUCUCCAUUCUGUACAGAAAAAAUAAUGAUAAAAAUAUAAUAAACAAUGUUAUUUA